GAGUCAGGCAGGCACAUAUGAUAAAUUGGAAUCGAUACAGGGAAGAUUAGCGUGGCCCCUGCGAAAGGAUGACGUGCAAAAUCAUGAAACUCAGAAGGACAUG